UACGAAGGAUGCGAGCGUUAUCCGGAUUUAUUGGGUUUAAAGGGAGCGUAGGCGGUCUUAUAAGUCAGUGGUGAAAUCUCGUUGCUUAACAACGAACGUGCCAUUGAUACUGUAGGACUUGAGUACAGUUGCCGUUGGCGGAAUGUGUCAUGUAGCGGUGAAAUGCAUAGAUAUGACACAGAACACCGAUUGCGAAGCAGCUGACGAAACUGUAACUGACGCUGAGGCUCGAAAGCGUGGGGGAUCAAACAGG
rnacentral:rRNA from 1 species